GGAACCGUUUCAAAUGUAAUUAGACUCCUUUUCUAGGAUAAUUCUGGAAGAUCCCUUAUCUGCUUGUUGUGUUAAUAGUGUUUUAGUGAGAUUAUAAAGUCAUACCUGAAAGUCGGAUGGCUGCGGUGAACGCCAAUGUCUCUGAGAGAAGCCAAUGGAGGAGCCAAGAUCACAGCUGCCUUUUUGAGCUGCAGGAGGAAGUCGCAUAAUCUGCUGAAGUCUCCGGUAAGAGUUGACUUUAUAUCACAAUUUUCCCAUCCAAAAACUUGCUGGUUUUAUGUAGAGAAACAUCUUCGCUUGACCGCUCUGUGUUAAAGCUUCACAACAAACAAAGAAACACAGGCUGUGUUUCGGUGCUAAAAGCAGCUGCAAUCCACCGCAUUUCCACCAACAACAUUCUUCUUUAUAGUCUCCUUUAUUAAUUGCCCACAUAUGCCGUCCUCUCAAAGGUUUCUCAUAGUCAUCAUUGUUGACAUUCCACUGGGGUGAAUUUUUCCUUGCCCUUAUGUGGGCUCUACCGAGGAUGUCGUUGUGGUUUGUGCAGCCCUUUGAGACACUUGAGAUUUAGGGCUAUAUAAAUAAACAUUGAUUGAUUGAUUGAUGAUUGUUAUAAAGCACACUGUUUAUAUUAAUCAUGCUUCGCUGAUUCGAGUAUUUGGUGAGCGCCGUUUUGUCCUACUAAUAUUGGCGGUCCUUGAACUCACCGCAGUUUGUUUACAAGUACAACUUUCUCAGACGUGUUUUAUGCCACUUCUUUUUCUGUCUCAUUUUGUCCACCAAACUUUUAACGUUGUGCAUGAAUGCACAAAGUGGUUUUCAAAUGGGGGUACGUGUACCCCUGGGGGUACUUGAAGGUAUGCCAAGAGCAAAUGCGUCACGGACCGGUGCCGGUCCCCGGACCAAUGGUUGGGGACCACUGCUGAUCUGCAUAGUGCCGCCACGGCUCAAACCAUCCUAAAUCACAAGUGUCUCAAAGAGCUGCACAGGCCACAACGACAUCUGAAGAUCAGCGCCCACAUAAGGGUCAGCAGAGAAGGCCUCGCUGGUCCUGACGGCACAUCACUGAACAACAGGCAGCAGUGAGGAGGAGCAUGCUGCAGAGGCCGCAGGCAGACUUCUUCCUCCGUCCUGCAUGUUCCACUCACUUCCUGCAAGAAUGGCAGCAAUGCAGGUAAUCCUCGAUGGAAGCGAGGCCAUGGGAAGGAUUUGACGCUUGACAACUUUAGGCCUCGUGCCUAACCUACGGCUACGAGACAAGACGUAUCAUGGCCACAUAAAAAGAGCCACAAAGGAGUCCACACAUCAGGAGCUCUCUGCUACCGACAUCACCUUCCGAGCUGAGUGUGUGAUUGCAGCUGCUUGAUGAAGAGACUUCUGUUGGAGGAGGAGACGAUUGGAAGAUCUCGAGCUGUCCCAUCAUGCAUCACAAAGGUCUCUCAGUGGACUGGACAAACUCCCUCUCGAUCUGCAGGACAACAUUCCUGAAAUUCUGGUGCGCUUGCAUGAUGCUUGGCAGAGCUGCAAAUUCUUCCCACCUCAAGUCGCCUUGGCUGUUAGUGAGGAAGCACAUGAACCUAUUUUUUUAAAAUAGUCCACAAGGGAAUAUUUGCCAAUGUGAUUGACUGGUGACCAGUCCAAACGGGUGUAUGAUUCCACUCAGUCUAGGACUGAAAAGCUAGUGGUUGUGUACAUGUUGCCAACUGAAUCAACCCAUUUUUAAAUGUAAUUCUGCAUCUAACUGUGGAAGGGUUACUGUUCCAGUUGCAUAAAAGAAAAGCCUGAAGGAGAUUGGUCUGGAAGAACAGACAUUGAGCAUGAAGGACCUGGAGGAGAUUGGUCUGGAAGAAAAGACACUGAGCAUGAAGGGAAAAUAAUCAGAUAAAUUUGCAGGUGUCACGUCACAUAAAAAACCAAAAAACAAAACCAUUACAGUUUGUGUGAUUGAUAAUACAAAUUUUCAGAGCAACAGGUAUUAUUUUGUCCACGAUAGUAGUAACUAUUUAAUAUCAUCCUUACACCAUCUUUCCACUUUAAUAAGAAUAUUCACACACAUUUUAAUGGUGCACAACUUUAAUAGAAUAUUUGAAAUCUGUACAAAUUGAAAAUAAUUACCCAAGUUAAUUGUGAAUAAACCGGUAAGGCCAUUUGUAGCACAGGACGCCAUGUGGUACGUUACAGGAUCCCACGCCCGGCUCAAAUCCUUGCAACCAGAUACUAAAGACCAUGAGUAAAGCGGGUCGGGUUAGUUUACUACUUAGCUGACCUAAUGUUGGCAGUACGACCAAACGCAAAAUCUAAAAAUGGUGGUACAAAAUGCAUUGGCAAUGUGUUUUCAAUUAAACACACAAUAACAAACAUGUUUGAACGUGUGAGCAGUAUUGGCAAACAAUCAAUUUGGCUUUGUCGAGAUCCAAACAAGCUGCCUGCUGUCACCAUUCAUAUAAGUGACAUCACAGCUAAAGGGUCAUAGUUCGGACAGUUCGUGAACAUCCUCAUCAAUGCGGCGAAAUAUUCAACAUAACCAGGAAAAUCAGGACGUUGGAGGACGCUGAAAAAGCUUCCGUGUGACAUUUUUGUCCAUUCAAGUGCUCGUAUAUAAAUGCUUGUUUAAGCGCCAUUAAAAGUGUUGAAGAGCAUCCCUUAACGGUUCAAACCAGAACGGAACAGUUCCCUCCCCCCCGAGAGGCCGUGAGACUUCCAAAACUGCAUCGCAUAUCACACCAGCAUAAAUACAUGACCAGCAUGGCAUGAGAAUGACAACAAGUGUAAAUUAAAGUGAUAAACUAUAACUCCCAUCAGUCACUUUCCUGGUCGAGUCAAUUCUUG